rnacentral:tRNA from 1 species
GUAGCUCAAUAGAAGAGCACUUGCCUAGCAUGCAUGAGACCCUGGGUUCAAUCUCCAGC